CCUACGGGAGGCAGCAGUGAGGAAUAUUGGUCAAUGGGCGUACGCCUGAACCAGCCAAGUAGCGUGAGGGAAGACUGCCCUAUGGGUUGUAAACCUCUUUUGUCAGGGAGCAACGCCGGCUACGUGUAGCCGGACGGAGAGUACCUGAAGAAAAAGCAUGGGCUAACUCCGUGCCAGCAGCCGCGGUAAUACGGAGGAUGCGAGCGUUAUCCGGAUUUAUUGGGUUUAAAGGGUGCGUAGGCGGAAUGCCAAGUCAGCGGUAAAAUCGCGGGGCUCAACCUCGCUCCGCCGUUGAAACUGGCGUUCUUGAGUGGGCGAGAAGUAUGCGGAAUGCGUGGUGUAGCGGUGAAAUGCAUAGAUAUCACGAAGAACUCCGAUUGCGAAGGCAGCAUACCGGCGCCCAACUGACGCUGAAGCACGAAAGCGUGGGUAUCGAACAGGAUUAGAUACCCGGGUAGUC
rnacentral:rRNA from 1 species